rnacentral:rRNA from 1 species
UACGUAGGAGGCAAGCGUUGUCCGGAAUUACUGGGCGUAAAGCGCGUGUAGGUGGUGGGACAAGUCUGCUGUGAAAGCGCCUGGCUUAACCGGGCGAGGUCGGCGGAAACUGUCCGACUCGAGGACGGUAGAGGGGGGUGGAAUUCCCGGUGUAGUGGUGAAAUGCGUAGAGAUCGGGAGGAACACCAAUGGCGAAGGCGGUUCUCUGGGCAUUACCUGACGCUGAGGAGCGAAAGUGUGGGGAGCGAACAGG